GACUCGUCGAUUCUUUACCCUGCAGAUGGAGGAAACAUGCAUUGCUUCACAGCUGUGACAGCGUGUGCAGUGUUAGAUGUGCUCGGCCCGCCAUACUCCGAUCGAGACGGUCGGCAUUGCUCAUACUACCUUGACCAUCCCUUCACAAAAUUUUCAGUGGAGGAGGGGGUUUCGGUCCCAGAAGCAGAUAGGGAAAGGUACGCAUGGCUUGAAGAAAGAGAGCAACCUAAAGACUUGGCUGCCGUUGGAGCAGUGUACAAAGGGCCAAAGAUAGUAGAGAAUCGAUGAACUCUCUGCAAAUGAGAUCUUGUUCAUUCCAUACAGUGCUGUCAUGGACUGCUACCAUUUGUGUGCAGCAUACAAUCUUUGUUUACUUCUAGAAGAAACAACAGAGAGAGAGAGAGAGAGAGAAUUAAAAUAAGGUUCUUUUAUUGAUGUUUCUUGUUUUGUGGAACAUGAAUUAGGUGCUCCCUUCAUCCUUCCUUCUUACUGUUUUUAAUCAUGUUUUGUAUGUAUAUAUAGUGGAGUUAGAAAGGGACUGAGUAUAAAGGAGUAUGAAUUUCUUAUGUUC